AUUGAACGCUGGCGGCAUGCCUUACACAUGCAAGUCGAACGGCAGCACGGGAGCAAUCCUGGUGGCGAGUGGCGAACGGGUGAGUAAUAUAUCGGAACGUGCCCAGUGAUGGGGGAUAGCCCGGCGAAAGCCGGAUUAAUACCGCAUACGACCUACGGGUGAAAGCAGGGGAUCGCAAGACCUUGCGUCAUUGGAGCGGCCGAUAUCAGAUUAGCUUGNGGUGGGGUAAAAGCCUACCAAGGCGACGAUCUGUAGCUGGUCUGAGAGGACGACCAGCCACACUGGGACUGAGACACGGCCCAGACUCCUACGGAGGCAGCAGUGGGGAAUUUUGGACAAUGGGCGCAAGCCUGAUCCAGCCAUGCCGCGUGCGGGAAGAAGGCCUCGGUU
rnacentral:rRNA from 1 species